rnacentral:rRNA from 1 species
GAUGAACGCUGGCGGCGUGCCUAAUACACGCAAGUCGAGCGAACAGACGAGGAGCUUACUCCUCUGACGUUAGCGGCGGACGGGUGAGUAACACGUGGAUAACCUACCUAUAAGACUGGGAUAACUUCGGGAAACCGGAGCUAAUACCGGAUAACAUGUUGAACCGCAUGGUUCAACAGUGAAAGACGGUCUUGCUGUCACUUAUAGAUGGAUCCGCGUCGCAUUAGCUAGUUGGUAAGGUAACGGCUUACCAAGGCAACGAUGCGUAGCCGACCUGAGAGGGUGAUCGGCCACACUGGAACUGAGACACGGUCCAGACUCCUACGGGAGGCAGCAGUAGGGAAUCUUCCGCAAUGGGCGAAAGCCUGACGGAGCAACGCCGCGUGAGUGAAGAAGGUCUUCGGAUCGUAAAACUCUGUUAUUAGGGAAGAACAAAUGUGUAAGUAACUAUGCACGUCUUGACGGUACCUAAUCAGAAAGCCACGGCUAACUACGUG